rnacentral:rRNA from 1 species
AAGCGUUAAGUAUUCCUCCUGGGGAGUACGCCGGCAACGGUGAAACUCAAAGGAAUUGAUGGGGGCCCGCACAAGCGGAGGAACAUGUGGUUUAAUUCGAUGAUACGCGAGGAACCUUACCCGGUCUUAAAUUGCAGAUGUAUUACGGUGAAAGCUGUCAGUCGCAAGGCAUCUGUGAAGGUGUUGCUUGGUUGUCGUCAGCUCGUGCCGUGAGGUGUCGGCUUAAGUGCCAUAACGAGCGCAAUCCUUGUUGUCAGUUACUAACAGGUUCCGAUUGAGGACUCUGACAAUACUGCCAUAGUAAGAUGUGAGGAAGGUGGGGAUGACGUCAAAUCAGCAUGGCCCUUACGUCCGGGGUUACACCCGUGUUACAAUGGGGGGUACAGAGGGCCGUUACCCCGCGAGGGGAUGUCAAUCCCCAAAACCUCUCUCAGUUUGGAGCGGAGUUUGCAACCCGUCUCCACGAAGCUGGAUUCGGUAGUAAUCGCGCAUCAGCCUCGGCGCGGUGAAUACGUUCCCGGUCCUUGUACACCCCGCCCGUCAAGCCAUGGGAGCCGGGGGUACCUGAAGUGCGUAACCGCGAGGAGCCCCCUAGGGUAAAACU